rnacentral:misc_RNA from 1 species
ACUAUCAACAUUACUAGCAGACAUUCACAGGCUACGAUUUCACUAUGUACGACAGUGUCUCGUUAUAACCUCGCGAGAAUCUCGUCUAUCAUCAUCAGUUAACUUCGUGUGUGAGUUUUUUUUACUACUUUCCCCAAAAAUCAUUUUGCUUGAAAUGUGAGACUUUAACAUGGAUAUAAGUGGUUUAGUUGUAUUGGGCCUCUUAGCUACUGCUGUUGGCGUACAAGCGGGAACCUGCUGGUUAUCAAAGACAAAACAGAAUCUAUGCAUGGGGGCGUUCAGCCUGAACGUGUCCAAAGAGGAGUGCUGCAGGAACCCCUCCCCUCACGUCAGCUGGACCCCUCAGACGUUCACGUCCACUGGGGAUUUGUUUUACUGGCAGGAACUGAUAGGGGGCGCUCCUGACUGCGAACUUUGCCAUGAUACCUGUGACGGUGUCAAAUGUCCCCAGGGAAAAGAGUGCCGACGAAGGAGAGGAGUCCCUAAAUGUGUCUGUCUGAUUAAUUGUACUCAGAGAUUGAGGAAGUCCAGGAAAAUCUGUGGAACGGACGGGAAGACUUACAACAAUGAAUGCCAACUUCGCCGUCGGAACUGUAAGCGGGAGACCUCGGUGUCCGUAGCGUACAGAGGCGUUUGUAGACAAUCUUGCAAAAAAGUGAGAUGCUUGGAUGGAAAGCGUUGCUUAGAGGACCAAAAUGGUUUGCCUCAUUGUGUUCACUGCCAAGUCCAUUGUCAGAACAGUGAUGACGAUCGAGUUCUAUGCGGAGAAGACGGCGUGACGUAUCGCAAUCCAUGCGAGCUCAGGGCAGCCGUCUGCAGACGACACAAGUCAAUAAGAAUCGCUUACUAUGGCAAAUGUCGAGGUACAAAUUAUCAGAACUCGUCUUUUAUCACGAUCCUUUACCGUUGCACAUGUCUCGUAAUGGUGUACAUUUGUAAUUGGUUUGUUUUAAAUAAAAUUCAAGCAGCGAAAUUUUACGACAAAUCGUAUAAAACUUGGCUUAUCUCUCUACUCGUGAGACAUUUUUUACACAAUAAAUACCACUCGUUUGAAAAUAUGUUAACAGCUUUGCAACAGGUUGAGUUCUUUUUCCUUCAGCUAACGCUACCUGUUUAGACACCCAGUGUUCGGAAGGAUUGUCUUGUUUAAUCAACCCCGUCAACCACCAGCCGCUGUGUGCUCAGUGCAAAACUCGCACCUGUUCGCCCCUGUCCCGAUACAAAGUCUGCGGAACAGACGGAGUGGAUUACAAGAACUACUGUAUCCUGAUGAGGGCGUCGUGCAAGAUGGUGCUAGCUAUAGACACACGCCAUAGCGGGUCCUGCGACAGAUCCAUGCGGAGAAAACAAAAACAUAAAAAGAGAAGACGAAGGAGAAAGAAGACGCGAGGCAGAAAGAAAACGCGAUACGUGGACGCAGUGCUUAGGGGCUCAGACGGAGUUCGAAUCAAACUGAGAUUAAAACAAGUACAUUCCAAGGCUGACAAAGGGAUAUCCUUACCACUAUCUCUCGAGCAUUUGUUUGCCCAGAAACAUGUAAAAGAAAAUGGCUGAAACCGCGGAAUCUUAGGAAGAGCCCGCCAUAGUGCCACACUGCGACUGCGCUGGUCCCGAUAUUGGAGGGAGCAUGCGUGAAUUAUCCAAAACGUCACUGCCAGAAACGUCUUUCUCGCCCUUACGGCAUUUUGAAUAUCCAAUGUGUUUCUGUGUUGUUCUUAUUUAUUGUAACUUAUUUAUUUAUAUGUGUUUCGUGUUUGAUGUACGAGAUGUAAAGGCGUACAGGGAACGGUGAAAUCAUUCACUUCAAGGUCACUUCAAGGUCAUACAGGCGGAAGUGACUCCAGGGACGCUCCUAUAGUCAUAAGUUCCGUCCUCUCUGUUCGUGCCUUUUUUUAAUUAUUAACAAAUAAACUGAAAUUAACUUUC